GACGAACGCUGGCGGCGUGGAUUAGGCAUGCAAGUCGAACGGUAGGAUACUUUCGGGUAUCUGAGAGUGGCGAACGGGUGAGUAACACGUAGGUGAUCUACCCUCAAGACGGGGACAACCCAGGGAAACUUGGGCUAAUACCGGAUGUGAGCUAUCGCGAGAUAGUUUGAAAGGUGGCUUCGGCUGCCGCUUGAGGAUGAGCCUGCGUCCUAUUAGCUAGUUGGUGAGGUAACGGCUCACCGAGGCAGUGAUAGGUAGGCGGCCUUAACGGGUGGUCGCCCACACUGGGAUUGAGAUACGGCCCAGACUCCUACGGGAGGCAGCAGUCGAGAAUAGUCUACAAUGGUCGGAAGACUGAUAGUGCGACGCCGCGUGAACGAUGAAUCCCUUCGGGGUGUAAAGUUCUUUUAUAUGUGAGCAGUGCUUCUUAUAUUAACAGUAUGGGGAGAGAGAUAUUAGCAUAUGAAUAAGCAACGGCUAACUCCGUGCC
rnacentral:rRNA from 1 species